GACGAACGCUGGCGGCGUGCUUAACACAUGCAAGUCGAACGGUGAAGGGACCGGUUUUUGCUGGUUCUGGAUGAGUGGCGAACGGGUGAGUAACACGUGAGUAACCUGCCCCCUUCUUCUGGAUAACCGCAUGAAGGGGUGGCAAAAACGGGUUAUUCGGGGCCUGCUGCAGGGGGGGGGGGGGAAGGUUUUUGUUUGGUGGGGGGAUGGGUCGCGGGCUAUCAGCUUGUUGGUGGGGUGAUGGCCUACCCAGGCGGUGACGGGUAGCCGGCCUGAGAGGGUGGACGGUCACACUGGGACUGAGACACGGCCCAGACUCCUACGGGAGGCAGCAGUGGGGAAUAUUGCACAAUGGGCGCAAGCCUGAUGCAGCGACGCCGCGUGAGGGAUGGAGGCCUUCGGGUUGUAAACCUCUUUCGCCAGUGAAGCAGGCCUGUCCCUUUUGUGGGUGGGUUGACGGUAGCUGGAGAAGAAGCGCCGGCUAACUACGUG
rnacentral:rRNA from 1 species